UCCCAGCGCUGCCCAGCGGUCAGUCGAUGUCACCGCUGCGCUAAUGAUCCUUGCGCGCCAUAAACACGAAAAUUGCAUAUAAAUGCAGACAGUUGAAUAAAGCUUUGCAUGUUCCGCACACAGCCAUAGUUAGCAUCUCUAUCCUAUCGGUGAAAUUCCAGGAGUCAAACAAGUCCAGUACAAGUGGAUGGCAGAACCAAGGAAAGGAGCAUCUUUGGCUACUGAUCCUAGAAAAAAAGAUUCCCUUCUAGAUGAGGACAUUGGUGACGAAUUUAUGAACUCCUGGAAAUCAAUAUCAGUGGCAGAGGAUGACAUGGUGGACUUUAGUUUUGGUACGGUCUCCAAAGGCAAGAAUAAGGCCUUUGAUUUUGGAACUUUGGAUGUUGAUUUCAAUCUGGAUGGAAGUUUUAAAAAGUUAUCAUCGUUCAAGAUUGACAUGCCAGAUCUUGACUUUUCAUCCCCGCCCAAAAAGAAUGAAAAGGCUAGGAGUAGUGGUAAAGAAGGAUCACCCAAAGAAAAUCUUCAAAGGGAUAUGGACAGCUUAAAUUUCUCUUUUGAUUUUAAAGAACUGGACAGCUUUGAUGUUGAUAAAAGCUUACAAAAUGGAGAAAGGACUUGUAAACAACAGCAAGAUACCGAGGCAGUUUCUUCUUCUAGAGUCGAGCAUGAAGCUUUUAAUAUCCAUAUAGGUGAAGAAAAUACUGCAACUGAUAAUACUAGUAUAGCCAAGACACUUCCAGCAUCAGGAAACGAGACCAGUUCUAGAGUUGAGAUUUUUCAUGGAGAUCAUGGUGAGCUAGAGUCAGAAGUUGCUAAUGGUACAUCACAUGAAGCAAGAAAUACAGCACCAGCUACAAAUGAAAAAGGUUGCUUACCUGAAAAAGAAUUGUCAAAGGGUAGUCAUCAAGUCAUUCAUGAUGUUCCUGUCAGGUGUAUUGCCAGAAAUUAUGCACCUGAAUGUACUUCGGAACCACAGUCUGAAAUUUGUGCGGAAAAAGGAGAACUAACAGUAGUUUCAGGUGGAACUGGAAAAGUUAUUGAUGAAAUCAUAGAUUCUGAUGUAGCUUGCUGUAAAAAAUUGCCUCAUAGCUAUUUGUCUCCGGUAAAUCUCUCUGCAACGGAGAGAAAUCCAACAGAAAAAAAUAAGUCGGAAUACAGUCAUCUGAAUGCAGUUGUUGACAAUGUUCAACUGGCUGAAGUUCAUUUAGUCCUCAAAGAUUGUUCCAAUUCAGAUGCCCCGAGGAAGCUUCUGCUUGACACGCAGGAAAUCAGAGAAAACCACAAUUUGAAAUUGAAACCGUCUAUGGUUCCUUUAUGCAGAGGACUACCGGUAAAUGAAGUGACAGUGAAAGAAAAAGAAGUGAGAGGGAAUUACUCAAUUUCAAAAACAGACGUUGUUAGGAAAUCUCAACUAUAUCAAGCAUCAUCUAUCAGUACGAAACUUUUCACUUUAGGGAAGAAUAGAAUUGAUGCUCCAAAUCAAAUUCCUGCAGCUGGAGACAGAAAUCGUUGCAGAGACCCUCGACCACAAAAUAAAUUAGCGAACACAGCACCGCCAGUUGUAGUACAAAGUGAAAAGAGCGUAGGAAAGCUUCGAGCUUCAAGUCCCAGAGUUAAACCUGGCAAUUUAUGUGGGAAAACAACUACUCAAGCACAUUGCAAUCCGGAACUAUGGAAACUAUCAAUGAUACCUAAUCGAAGCGCAAAGACCAUUUCAGCCCAAGAGAGUAAACUUUGUUCUCUUAAAACUGGCUUAAUAUUUCCCGGUCUUUCCAGUUUGAAGACUUAUAGGGCAUUUGGAGGAAAGCAAGUUCCAACUAGUACUGGAACUGUGAAAGAAAGGAAAUUAGGAGAAUCAGAACAAACUACGGAAGCAGGACAAAGAAGUAAAAAGUUAGAUAUUGGCUAUUGUACUGAAAACGCAGAGAAACAAGAACUUUUAAUCUCCAACAUGAAGCGCAAAGCCCUAGAGGAACCAAAUGCAGAUCCAAAGGGGUUAAAACCUCUAAAGAUCCUCUGUGUAUCACCUAAUGGAUCUAGAAACACUAAAGAGCCGUUGAAGAAAAAGAUAGAAGAACAGGUUGAAAGUAUGACUACCGCUUCUCACGACCAAUUAGCUUCCAAUAUUGAAAAGCCUCGCGUGCCAGAGACGAUGGAAUUGGAAAUAUCUUUGGUUUUGGAAAAUGAUCGAAAUGUUGAAAAAGCAGAAGCCUAUUCACAGCAGCUGGAAGAUAUCUGUAAUAUGCUGAGAAAGAAGCAAGAAGAGGCCAAAGAAAUAUUAGUCCGAACUAUUGUUAACAACAAUAAUCUGCUCAUGCUCAAUCAUCCCAUCUAUGAGGAGAAAAUUAUGAAGCUUCAGAAAUUUUCUGCCAAAAUGUUGUCCAAGGAGCUUCACACAAAAGCAGCUUGAGUCUUAUUCAAUUUACAGUAUCACAAAUCCACUACCUCUUGAAAAUACCAUGUGCUCAUUAGAGAAUAACAAAAACAAUCAUCCCUAACAAGGAUCGAGGAGAAAAGUUCUAGCACGUCUAGUUACUGGGGCUGAUUCUCGACGACUUGUUGGCUUUAACUCGGAACCAAACAUUCCGGCUAAGACAUAUCGGCCAGCGCUGUUGGGUUCCAAAGAGAACUUUCACAUUGGGCUGGUCGCCGUCGAAGGCUCAGGAAGCAUUCAUCAACGUGGGGUGGCGCGCCUGUCACCGGGAGGCCCUGAUCCCCGCCACCAUUAAUCUUCAGAAUCCUUCUACCUGUGGUUUAAUCAGUUUGUCGAUCAGCUUCAAAUUCUGUUGAGACCGUUUGAUGUAGAAGAUCAAAACUAAAAUUUUGUGAUUUUACAGAAUUCUGAGAAGGGUAGCAACCAGGAUGAAUAAUUUUGUGUGUUUCUGGCUAAGUAAUGGCAAUCCUUUUUUGUUUUUUCU